GCUCCAAGAUGGCCGUGCAGCACAAUGCAGCUCGGCCCCAGCCGCACCGCCCCACCGGGGAGCGGCCUGAGCAGCACGGCGCUGUGCAGCGGGAGGAACGGCCGGGAAGGGAGAAGGGAACCGGGAGCCACGAGGCGGCUGCGCGGAACAUUCUGGUUCUCAGGGGGAAGGAUCGCACGGAGCCAUCCCGGAGCGGCCGCGAGGUGCUGAGGAAGGACGGGAGGCCGCGGCGAUGCCGAAGGAAAAACUACUGAAGUAUGGUGGGAAAAGAAGAAAAACGAAAUGGACAGCAGCCAUGGAAAGGCGCUUUCUCUGACUAUGGGAAACAGGAGAGGUCAGAAAAACAGUGUAGUAGAAGGAAUGCAGCCAUACUGGAGCAAGUGCAGCAAACAGCCAAAAAGAUGAUGGAUGGAUUGAAGCAUCUGCUGAGCACACAAGAAGUUGGGGAAUCUUGCCAUGUUUAAUCUCCAGAAGAGAUAUGUCAGGAGGAAUCUUAUAAAUGUGCCUAAAUAUCUGGUGAGGAAGGUGGGAGGAGGUACAGACAGCUGAACCAGCCUCUUGUGAGCAAUAUGUAGUGGAAGAACGAAAGGAAGGAAGUAGAAAAUGAAAUACAAGGUAUUCCACUUGACCACAAGGGAAAACCAAACCAAAACAACAAAAUCACUACUAAAUCCCACUCUUCUUUACUCAGUGAUGGCUCACUGAAACAAGUGACCCAGCGAGGUUCCCAGAGGGAGUAUUUCCCCAGCUGAACUUGGUUAAUAAUUUUACUGCAGUUCCAUGCCUCAGAGCAACAACCUCAUCCUUUCUGACAGAACAUUGUUUGCUGCCCUCAAAGCCACGACGACAAUCAGCUGCUCUGACACAAUCCUCACAGGAACAAAUCUGCUGAUCAAUUGAGUAAAGUACAUAGUGAAAUCUCGACUCCAGUGAAGUCAUUGGGAGAUUUGCCACUAACUACUGGGAAAGCCAGGUUUGAGCCAUUUGUCUCUCUCAGGAAAGCUACUAUUUUAACUAUUAAAAGUUAUAUUCUAGUUAGAAAAGACUACAGAUGUGUUAAUUACACAUUCUGCCUUCGUAAAUGGGAAACGUGCUGGUACAAUAAUUCGGACAAGGGAGCUUAAAUGCUUGAAGUAUGCUCAGUGAUAGAUCACCUUCAAGUCUACCUUAGAACAUACUGCAAAUCCUUCAACUGACCUUAUUUUACUCAUUUUACUUAUUUUACUCUAAGCUUAAUGAAACUCACACUUGUAGUUCAGUGUUGUAGUUUCAACACAAGUGUUUCUCAAGUUCCUUAGAUGAAAACAAUGAUUUAAAGCACUGAAAUCCUCCCAAAAAAGGACUUGGGCUGAAGUCAAUGAAAGGCAUUUUGAUGUAGAAUUAUAAGGAAAACGAUAUCAAGUGGCUUAACUCUUCAUGAUCACCACAUUCCUGAGGGUGUGUGAUUACCUGUGU